AAGACUAUACUUUUAGGGAUCAUUUCCAUAGUUCGUUACUAGAGAAGUUUCCCUGACUGUGUAGAGUACCCGAAGCCAAGAGGACGAGACACAGCGUCCCCUCCUGAGUGUGAAGCCGGCUCCAGGUGCUGCUUCUGCGAGGCUGCCUCUUGCCACUGUCGUCCUUCACUCCUAUAGGAGGGUGAGAGGGAGGGAACGCAGUCUGAGUGGA